AGGGCUUUCUACGGUGAAGGGGGCAGGACUCGUGCCGCACACAUAUACACAAACACGUGUUCCUGUCCGUUCAAUGGGUGUAUGGUGUGGGAACGGAGAUGGGGAGGUCCCUGCGUUCUUCACGGCCCGGGCAGCCGGGUUGUCAGGGACAGGCCCCUGGGUGAUGAAGCCUGUGAGGAGUUUGCAGAGAUGUUCCACUCAACAAUGGUAAGAAUCGUCAGAUCUUUGCCAUCAGAGCAGACUUUGCAAUCCGAGAGAUUCCUCAGGAAUUCUUAGCCGUCUUUCUAUCUCAUAUCUAUGUCGUGGAUCACCUCUGGACACUUUCCCAAACCCUUUUUGGAAUUUAUUUUCAGUGCUAUAAGAAAGAAAAAAAAAAUCAAUGAUGAAGACACACACUGAGAAAGUCUUUGUGAUACCUUCAGCAAGCACAUAUAGUGGAGCAGAUGGUGGCCCUCAUUGGAGCUUUUCCCCUGUUUGGCCCCUCUCUACAGAAGCCUUUCAGGGAGUACCUUGAAGCCCAGAGGGCAAAAUUACAACACCGGACGGGCGGCGCGCAGAAGAGGCCACCCCAAUUGUAAGUCCCAUCACUCAUCUCUUUUAACCUUUAAAUUUGCCUCAAUCCCAGACGUGGCUUUUGUAUUUUUGUUUAUUUUUCCACCAUUCCUCCUUUUAAUUUAUUACGCGCACCCCUAUUUCUCUUUUGCUCCACAUCCUAAUUACCUCCCUGCCCUAAUUAUCGCUUUGAGACUGGUUUUAUUCUACCGUGUGAUUCUGUUGAGGUGUUAUUGUUUGCAUGUGGCAGACCGUAGUGUCAGGGGCUCCGCGAGGGCUGUGCGGUGGUUGGUCGCGGGGGCCUGUUCAGGGUCUGGCUGAAGAGGGAUGCUGAGUCAUACUCCGAGCUCUUUGAGUGAACCGGACACUCCCCCACGUCACACUAACUCACCCCCCCCCCCUCCCCCCUCAGCAGCCGAACCCUGUUGAACCCAGCGCAGGCUGCCGGAGACGGGAGGGGCCCCUGGGAGUAAAAGAAGAAGGAGGAGGAGGGUCGAGGGACGUUGGGAAGGGAAGCAGCAGGAGGAGGAGGGUUGGGGGAGGUUGAGGCUAUACUCACGAUUCCUGCCACCGCUGUUCCCUCACAAGUGCGCACAGAAACAAAGAGCUACACCUUCUUUUUUUUUUUUUAUACCUUCGUCUGCCCAUGUGCGAAUCCUUCGUUUCAUCUAAAGAGCUUUUCCAGUUUGUGUGCAUGUGUGCGUACGUGUGGGAGGAGGAAAUGAAAGAGAGUAAAAGAAAGAGAUGAAGUUGCACAAUGAGAGAUUACGGAUGUUUCUGGAACAAUGUUCCUUUUUUCUGGUAACUUGAACCUCCUGCUGUUACUUAAGGGCUUGUUCAACCGGCAGGAGGAAACGAUGCCACCACCGUGCACGUGUCACUAACGUAAAUCUUGUUUUAAAGAAGCAGAGAGAGAUUGAAGGGAAAUGCAUGUGGAGAUGAGUGAUUGCUUAACCUGAGAUGUUUCUGAUGAGUUAAUGCAUUGAUGAUUAAGCAUAAUCGACUGUCUUUUACUCUCUCCUUACAGGUUUUAGAGGAUGGUGAUCAGCAUAGUGCAUCAUAGACUUUUGGUUUCCAAGAACCUUAUAAAGCAAAACUAAAUCAAGGAACUAAAUUAACCCUAAAAUCCAACAGCUUCCUCAAUCUCAUGUCAGCCACUGCUAGAAUAAUAGGUUUAUUCUUCUCAAUUUUCUUUGAGGUUUCUAUUGUAACAUGGCUAUCGGUUAACAUUUUUACUUUUUAAUGUGCUUGCUAGCUGGUGGUUUGUGCUGAGAUACUCAUGUUCUCAGCUCCGUCUUGCACAGGUUAUCUGAUCCCAAUGGUUUGAGGUGCACUGUGGCUUAUGUUGUGUGUGGUCUGUUACAUUUAAGGGACAGACUGCAAUAAUUUGAUUUUAAAAUUCGUUAUUAGUGACUUUGUGCUUUUGAAAUUCAGUAUAUUCCAAUUCACAGUGCUCGUAUAAUUCUAGAUUCAUAAUUUGAAUUUAGGUAGCAAAAACAGGAAGUUAAUGUAAAGUAACACUGACUCUAAAG